rnacentral:rRNA from 1 species
GACGAACGCUGGCGGCGUGCCUAAUACAUGCAAGUCGAACGCAGUGGGGACGGGUGAGUAACACGUGGGUAACCUCCCAUCAGAGGGGAUAACACUUGGAAACAGGUGCUAAACCGAUAGUGGUGGGAGGACCCGGGGGGGAUUAGGUAGUUGGGGGGGUAACGGCUCACCAAGGCCACGAUGCAUAGGGGACCGGAGAGGGUGAUCGGCCACACUGGGACUGAGAAACGGCCCAGACUCCUACGGGAGGCAGCAGUAGGGAAUCUUCGGCAAUGGACGAAAGUCUGACCGAGCAACGCCGCGUGAGUGAAGAAGGUUUUCGGAUCGUAAAACUCUGUUGUUAGAGAAGCGGUAUCUAACCAGAAAGCCACGGCUAACUACGUGCCAGCCGCCGCGGUAAUAC